rnacentral:RNase_P_RNA from 1 species
GAAAGGAUACCGCCUAAAAAGGCAAGGGUGAAAGGGUGAGGUAAGAGCUCACCGGCAGUCUGGUAACUGACUGGCUUUGUAAACCCCGUCUGGAGCAACACCGUGGUGGGAUAAUGGAGAUCCGCAGUCCCAAGGAGGUGGCUCGAGCCUGUUGGAGACAAUGGGCCAAGAUAGAUGACUGUUCUCGACAGAACCCGGCUUAUAGGUAUACUCGAAAG